rnacentral:rRNA from 1 species
GAUGAACGCUUCCUUCUUUCCUAAUACAUUCAAGUCGAGCGAACAGACGAGGAGCUUGCUCCUCUGACGUUAGCGGCGGACGGGUGAGUAACACGUGGAUAACCUACCUAUAAGACUGGGAUAACUUCGGGAAACCGGAGCUAAUACCGGAUAAUAUAUUGAACCGCAUGGUUCAAUAGUGAAAGACGGUUUUGCUGUCACUUAUAGAAGGAUCCGCGCCGCAUUAGCUAGUUGGUAAGGUAACGGCUUACCAAGGCAACGAUGCGUAGCCGACCUGAGAGGGUGAUAGGCCACACUGGAACUGAGACACGGUCCAGACUCCUACGGGAGGCAGCAGUAGGGAAUCUUCCGCAAUGGGCGAAAGCCUGACGGAGCAACGCCGCGUGAGUGAUGAAGGUCUUCGGAUCGUAAAACUCUGUUAUUAGGGAAGAACAAAUGUGUAAGUAACUAUGCACGUCUUGACGGUACCUAAUCAGAAAGCCACGGCUAACUACGGG